ACAUGCCUACAUCAUAGCAUUAAUGCAUUGGAUCUCAUUAGAACUAUGCCGUUAAGCGUGCUCAAGCUAGAGUAGCACUCAGAUGGGUGACCGCCUAUUGGAGCAGGAUAAUUUU
rfam:Picea glauca, whole genome shotgun sequence.